rnacentral:rRNA from 1 species
AUUGAACGCUGGCGGCAGGCUUAACCCAUGCAAGUCGAGCGAGCGGCGGAAGGGUGAGUAAUGUCUGGGAAACUGCCUGAUGGAGGGGGAUAACUACUGGAAACGGUAGCUAAUCCCGCAUACCAUCAGAUGUGCCCAGAUGGGAUUAGCUAGUAGGUGGGGUAAUGGCUAACCUAGGCGACGAUCCCUAGCUGGUCUGAUAGGAUGACCAGCAAAACUGGAACUGAGACACGGUCCAGACUCCUACGGGAGGCAGCAGGGGGGAAUAUUGCACAAGGGGCGCAAGCCGGAUGCAGCCAUGCCGCGUGUGUGAAGAAGGCCUUAGGGUUGUAAAGCACUUUCAGCGAGGAGGCGUUACUCGCAGAAGAAGCACCGGCUAACUCCGUGCCAGCAGCCGCGGUAAUAC